GGCCAGGUGGCGGAAUGGUAACGCGUGCGAGACUCAUACAGACACCACAUCGUUGUUACUCGCAGUGUCUCCGUUCGAUUCGGGGUCUGGCCU